AAAGGAAUAGACGGGGGCCCGCACAAGCGGAGGAACAUGUGGUUUAAUUCGAUGAUACGCGAGGAACCUUACCCGGGCUUGAAAUGCAGACGACCUCCCGCGAGAACGGGAUUCCCUUCGGGGCGUCUGUGUAGGUGCUGCAUGGUUGUCGUCAGCUCGUGCCGUGAGGUGUCGGCUUAAGUGCCAUAACGAGCGCAACCCUCAUCGUUAGUUGCCAUCAGGUCAGGCUGGGGACUCUAACGGGACUGCCAUCGUAAGAUGCGAGGAAGGUGGGGAUGACGUCAAAUCAGCACGGCCCUUACGUCCGGGGCGACACACGUGUUACAAUGGGUGGUACAAAGGGCAGCUACCGGGCGACCGGAUGCCAAUCUCCAAAACCACUCUCAGUUCGGAUCGGAGUCUGCAACUCGACUCCGUGAAGCUGGAUUCGCUAGUAAUCGCGCAUCAGCCACGGCGCGGUGAAUACGUUCCCGGGCCUUGUACACACCGCCCGU
rnacentral:rRNA from 1 species